AAGCAAUGCUGCACGCUAUACAUGCAGUCGAACGAGUUCUCGUUGAUGAUCGGUGCUUGCACCGAGAUUCAACAUGGAACGAGUGGCGGACGGGUGAGUAACACGUGGGUAACCUGCCCUUAAGUGGGGGAUAACAUUUGGAAACAGAUGCUAAUACCGCAUAGAUCCAAGAACCGCAUGGUUCUUGGCUGAAAGAUGGCGUAAGCUAUCGCUUUUGGAUGGACCCGCGGCGUAUUAGCUAGUUGGUGAGGUAACGGCUCACCAAGGCGAUGAUACGUAGCCGAACUGAGAGGUUGAUCGGCCACAUUGGGACUGAGACACGGCCCAAACUCCUACGGGAGGCAGCAGUAGGGAAUCUUCCACAAUGGACGCAAGUCUGAUGGAGCAACGCCGCGUGAGUGAAGAAGGCUUUCGGGUCGUAAAACUCUGUUGUUGGAGAAGAAUGGUCGGCAGAGUAACUGUUGCCGGCGUGACGGUAUCCAACCAGAAAGCCACGGCUAACUACGUGCCAGCAGCCGCGGUAAUACGUAGGUGGCAAGCGUUAUCCGGAUUUAUUGGGCGUAAAGCGAGCGCAGGCGGUUUUUUAAGUCUGAUGUGAAAGCCCUCGGCUUAACCGAGGAAGCGCAUCGGAAACUGGGAAACUUGAGUGCAGAAGAGGACAGUGGAACUCCAUGUGUAGCGGUGAAAUGCGUAGAUAUAUGGAAGAACACCAGUGGCGAAGGCGGCUGUCUGGUCUGUAACUGACGCUGAGGCUCGAAAGCAUGGGUAGCGAACAGGAUUAGAUACCCUGGUAGUCCAUGCCGUAAACGAUGAAUGCUAGGUGUUGGAGGGUUUCCGCCCUUCAGUGCCGCAGCUAACGCAUUAAGCAUUCCGCCUGGGGAGUACGACCGCAAGGUUGAAACUCAAAGGAAUUGACGGGGGCCCGCACAAGCGGUGAGCAUGUGUUUUACUUCAAGCACGCGAAGAUCCUUACCAGGUCUUGACAUCUUUUUGAUCACUGAAAGAUCAGGUUCCCUUCGGGGGCAAAAUUGACAGGUGUUGCAUGAUGUCGUCA
rnacentral:rRNA from 2 species